GAGACCAUAGCUCAGUCGGUAGAGCAUCUCACUUUUAAUGAGAGGGUCGAUGGUUCGAAUCCAUCUGGUCUCACCA
rnacentral:tRNA from 1 species